GACCCGGAUGAUGAUGACAAGCAACUCUGGCGAUUCAUAAAAACAUAUUGGUGAAAUGAACGAGUUUCGCGGCAGAUAAUGUGUUAUGUAGAGCCUCAUUGUCGGUGCCCCGAUCAUUCCCACUAUAUGGAUGUAUGCGGCUCUUGCGGACCUAAAUAUCUUCCGAAGGACUCCAAAUGACACCAAACUUAUCUGGAUAGAAGUCCCCGCAUUCUUUCCCAUCAUACCCACUGCCUUUUCUCACUUGUCAUUCCUCAUGACAUUUUAAUGAGUGAAGCACUUUUUUUUUUUACUCUUUAAGUUAGAUGAUGUUAUAUGGGAACACUAAAUGUGGUGAAGUUAAAUUUAUGUACUAUAUUGCAGUAUCACAAACAAUGUCUUAGUGGGCUUUACAGACCUGCAACAUCAAAGCUUCCUGACCAGACCAAGCUCUCUAAGAAGAUAAAAGAAAACUCCCCCAAAAAAACUCAGCACAGGAGGGGAAUACGAAGAAGGAACCCAAGAAGAAGAAA